rnacentral:rRNA from 1 species
UACGUACGAGGCGAGCGUUAUCCGGAAUUACUGGGCGUAAAGCGCGCGCAGGGGGCUUGCUAAGUCGGACGUGAAAUCUCCCGGCCUAACUGGGAGGGGUCGUCCGAGACUGGCCGGCUUGAGGCUGGCAGAGGUAGGUGGAAUUCCUGGUGUAGUGGUGAAAUGCGUAGAGAUCAGGAGGAACACCGGUGGCGAAGGCGGCCUACUGGGCCAGCACUGACGCUGAGGCGCGAAAGCUCGGGGAGCGAACGGG